UACGUAGGUGGCAAGCGUUGUCCGGGUUUACUGGGUGUAAAGGGCGUGUAGCCGGGCUGACAAGUCAGAUGUGAAAUCCGGGGGCUCAACCCCCGAACUGCAUUUGAAACUGUUGGUCUUGAGUAUCGGAGAGGCAGGCGGAAUUCCUAGUGUAGCGGUGAAAUGCGUAGAUAUUAGGAGGAACACCAGUGGCGAAGGCGGCCUGCUGGACGACAACUGACGGUGAGGCGCGAAAGCGUGGGGAGCAAACAGG
rnacentral:rRNA from 1 species